UACGAAGGGGGCUAGCGUUGUUCGGAAUUACUGGGCGUAAAGCGCACGUAGGCGGACUACUAAGUCAGGGGUGAAAUCCCGGGGCUCAACCCCGGAACUGCCUUUGAUACUGAUAGUCUCGAGUCCGGAAGAGGUGAGUGGAAUUCCGAGUGUAGAGGUGAAAUUCGUAGAUAUUCGGAGGAACACCAGUGGCGAAGGCGGCUCACUGGUCCGGUACUGACGCUGAGGAGCGAAAGCGUGGGUAGCGAACAGG
rnacentral:rRNA from 1 species